GGUGAUUUUGUGUAAGUAAUAAUGUUGAAUUUUGAAUUUGUAGAAUUUCAGAGGAAAAUUAAACCUGCAUUGAAUGAAGAUUACAUCGAAUUAUAUAAAUCGUGUCCACCAGUAUUUGCAUCACUUCAUUUUCUGACGUGUUAUCAACAAGGCCAAUUCUGCCUUUGCCUUUAUAACUAAUUGUUAUCUUUCUUUCCCUCAAUUGAAUACAAUUAAAUGGCUCUUGCUUAAAGCUAAACCUAAAACCUCUGUCAUACAAAACAAAUUUCAUCUAAUAAACUCAACUACUCUACAAGGAAAAAGUAGGAAAUGAAGUUGCAGGGGAUAUAAAUGAGACGAUAAAAGUCUAAUCUUGAGGGUAUUAUUUGAAAGGGUACAAUUGAAGUAGAAUACUGAUAUGCUCCAAUCUACCUCACAUAAUCUAGAAGGAUACAGAAGAAGAAUAACCUGCAAAUGGUGGAAAACUAAAGUCUAUUAGAGGGUAAAAUUAUUUGGGGAAGAGUAGUUACAAGUAUGCUAUAAAUAUAUGCAGAUGAUAGCCAAAUAGAGGAGAUAUGGAGAAGGAUCUAGGGGAGAGAAUUGGCCUCUCGAAUGCCAAAUACUUAUUAUUUCUUUUGCAUUAGAGUUGGAAUGCAUUUCAUCAAUCUUAUAUAUUUGUAUUAUCUUUCUAUUACAAUGUAUUUGAAUUUACAGCACUUCAGAUUAUAGAAUACAUAUUACAAUUCUGUCAGAUUCUUCUUGUUCUAUUUAUGUCCUCUUUUUGCCCUUGAUUCUGUGUAUCGAACAGCUACUGUUGCAGGAUCCUAUCAAAUAUAUACCAGUAAAAUUUUCCUAAAACAAAUGUACGGGAAGCAUCCAUGAGAAAAUCAUCAUUUCAAAUAUUAAAAUGCCAACCUAGAGAUAGUAACCUAACUAAAUGUAUUGAUAUCAGACUCAUAUGUGUCAUGAAGUACGAGCUAACUUGUGUAAAUUAAGACAAGUCUUAACCACUCAUUCUAAUAGAUAUACCAUGUCCAAAUGAAUGCCCCCUGAGAACCCUCAACAUUUUUCUAUAAACAAAUGCUAGUUAACAAUUGGGAGCAAUUGUUAGCAUAAGUUAUAGAUGUUAAUAUGAGUUUUAAAAGUAUAGUUCUACUCACAAUACCUCAUCAUUUGUGACUAAAUGAAUAUAAUAUAUUGACAUUUGGCACUUGAACAAUUUUUUAAUAAAUGCUCAGAAUGCUUAUUAACAUGACUUGUAGGUUCUACAUUGUGAUUGAAACGUACUUGGUUCAUUUUUUGGAAAAAUUGUCUUGCACUAAACCGGAAAAAGUUACAUAGUAUUAUAGGAAAAGGGAACAACUAUUUUN
rnacentral:lncRNA from 1 species